rnacentral:rRNA from 1 species
GACGAACGCUGGCGGCGUGCUUAACACAUGCAAGUCGAACGGAAAGGCCCUGCUUUUGUGGGGUGCUCGAGUGGCGAACGGGUGAGUAACAUGUGAGUAACCUGCCCUUGACUUUGGGAUAACCUCAGGAAACUGGGGCUAAUACCGGAUAGGAGCUCCUGCUGCAUGGUGGGGGUUGGAAAGUUUCGGCGGUUGGGGAUGGACUCGCGGCUUAUCAGCUUGUUGGUGGGGUAGUGGCCUACCAAGGCUUUGACGGGUAGCCGGCCUGGGAGGGUGACCGGCCACAUUGGGACUGAGAGACGGCGCAGAGUCCUACGGGAGGCAGCAGUGGAGAGUAUUGCACAGUGGGCGGACGCCUGAUGCAGCGACGCCGCGUGCGGGAUGACGGCCUACGGGUUGUAAACCGCUGUCACCUGUGACGAAGCGUGAGUGACGGUAAUGGGUAAAGAAGCACCGGCUAACCACGUG